ACGCUAGCUACAGGCUUAACACAUGCAAGUCGAGGGGCAGCAUCAUCAAAGCUUGCUUUGAUGGAUGGCGACCGGCGCACGGGUGAGUAACACGUAUCCAACCUGCCGACAACACUGGGAUAGCCUUUCGAAAGAAAGAUUAAUACCGGAUGGCAUAAUUUUCCCGCAUGGGAUAAUUAUUAAAGAAUUUCGGUUGUCGAUGGGGAUGCGUUCCAUUAGGCAGUUGGCGGGGUAACGGCCCACCAAACCAACGAUGGAUAGGGGUUCUGAGAGGAAGGUCCCCCACAUUGGAACUGAGACACGGUCCAAACUCCUACGGGAGGCAGCAGUGAGGAAUAUUGGUCAAUGGACGAGAGUCUGAACCAGCCAAGUAGCGUGAAGGAUGACUGCCCUAUGGGUUGUAAACUUCUUUUAUACGGGAAUAAAGUGAGCCACGUGUGGCUUUUUGCACGUACCGUAUGAAUAAGGAUCGGCUAACUCCGUGCCAGCAGCCGCGGUAAUACGGAGGAUCCGAGCGUUAUCCGGAUUUAUUGGGUUUAAAGGGAGCGUAGGCGGGUUGUUAAGUCAGUUGUGAAAGUUUGCGGCUCAACCGUAAAAUUGCAGUUGAUACUGGCGACCUUGAGUGCAACAGAGGUAGGCGGAAUUCGUGGUGUAGCGGUGAAAUGCUUAGAUAUCACGAAGAACUCCGAUUGCGAAGGCAGCUUACUGGAUUGUAACUGACGCUGAUGCUCGAAAGUGUGGGUAUCAAACAGGAUUAGAUACCCUGGUAGUCCACACAGUAAACGAUGAAUACUCGCUGUUGGCGAUAUACGGUCAGCGGCCAAGCGAAAGCAUUAAGUAUUCCACCUGGGGAGUACGCCGGCAACGGUGAAACUCAAAGGAAUUGACGGGGGCCCGCACAAGCGGAGGAACAUGUGGUUUAAUUCGAUGAUACGCGAGGAACCUUACCCGGGCUUAAAUUGCAACUGACGGAACCGGAAACGGUUCUUUCUUCGGACAGUUGUGAAGGUGCUGCAUGGUUGUCGUCAGCUCGUGCCGUGAGGUGUCGGCUUAAGUGCCAUAACGAGCGCAACCCUUACGGGUAGUUACCAUCAGGUUAUGCUGGGGACUCUACCCGGACUGCCGUCGUAAGAUGUGAGGAAGGUGGGGAUGACGUCAAAUCAGCACGGCCCUUACGUCCGGGGCUACACACGUGUUACAAUGGGGGGUACAGAAGGUAGCUACACGGCGACGUGGUGCUAAUCCCAAAAGCCUCUCUCAGUUCGGAUUGGAGUCUGCAACCCGACUCCAUGAAGCUGGAUUCGCUAGUAAUCGCGCAUCAGCCACGGCGCGGUGAAUACGUUCCCGGGCCUUGUACACACCGCCCGUCAAGCCAUGAAAGCUGGGGGUACCUGAAGUACGUAACCGCGAGGAGCGUCCUAGGGUAAAAUUGGUGAUUGGG
rnacentral:rRNA from 1 species